rnacentral:rRNA from 1 species
AGUGAACGCUGGCGGUGGGCCUAACACAUGCAAGUCGAACGGCAGCACAGUAAGAGCUUGCUCUUACGGGUGGCGAGUGGCGGACGGGUGAGGAAUACAUCGGAAUCUACUUUUUCGUGGGGGAUAACGUAGGGAAACUUCCGCUAAUACCGCAUACGACCUACGGGUGAAAGCAGGGGAUCUUCGGACCUUGCGCGAUUGAAUGAGCCGAUGUCGGAUUAGCUAGUUGGCGGGGUAAAGGCCCACCAAGGCGACGAUCCGUAGCUGAUCUGAGAGGAUGAUCAGCCACACUGGAACUGAGACACGGUCCAGACUCCUACGGGAGGCAGCAGUGGGGAAUAUUGGACAAUGGGCGCAAGCCUGAUCCAGCCAUACCGCGUGGGUGAAGAAGGCCUUCGGGUUGUAAAGCCCUUUUGUUGGGAAAGAAAAGAAGCAGGUUAAUACCCCGAUGUUCUGACGGUACCCAAAGAAUAAGCACCGGCUAACUUCGUG